UUUUCCUUCCAAGUCUCUUUCUUCUGUCUCUUUCUUGCUCUCACUUACAUCCUUCUCUCUCCUUUGUUUACUAAUCCUCUCUGCAAAUUACAAACUACAAAGUUUAGAGAUUCAGGCAAUUCUUUGGAAUGGAAGAAAAUAGAGAUAAUGUGUCUGUCCAAGAAAGAACUUCUGAUAGAAAUUUGUGUCGUCGUACUAGAUAUGCACGGAUGUCACCGGAGAGAAAAGAAUUAUUUUAUCCCAGCUAAGAGAAAAAAGGGUUGAAUCGAAAAGAGAAAACUCCUUCAUUAAUCAAAUAGUACUGGCACUCUUACAAUCAACACUUCUUCCUUAUCUCCUCAACAAGUUGAAGCUUCCGAAGCUACAAACCUACUAGUUACUUCAACUAGAGGAGAAUAUAUAGUUAAUUGCUUAUCUACCUUCGAAGUAGGAUCAACAUCGACUGCAUCUCAUGCUGCAAGUAAAUUAAGUUCAAGACAUAUUGCAAAUAGAGGAACAACUUAUUCUAUCAAGGGUAACUGUUUAUAUAGUUCUAGCGGAAGAAAAUGACAGAGAUGACCUACCUGUUAAGGCUUCAAACCUUUUUAUUUGAGAUGAUACAAGUGCAAAUAAAUGAUGAUGAGACUAUGACAACAUUUGUGCCCGCCCCACCCGCAACAACCUUUCAAGUAUGAUCCCUUUGUGUAGGUAAAGACAAAGCUCAAAGGACAUCAUAAAAGAAUAACUGGGCUUGCUUUGUCAAAUGCUCUCAACGUGCUUAUAUCUGCAGGAGCAAAUUCUCAAGUAAAUUAAUUUGAUAUAGGUGUAUUUCGACAUAUACCUUACUUAAUAGAAAAAUAUAGUUGUUGUGUUUUGGGCAAAUUUGUGGCUUGAUCUUAUUGAUAAUAGUUGCUGCCGUUGAUGAACAAUUUCAGCACUUUGGCCAUUUUUUUGCUACAAUCUGUUAAGGCUAACAAUGAAACAACUUUGCUUAUUUAGCUUAUAUUUGGCAUGUUUAUCGUUA